rnacentral:lncRNA from 1 species
GUGCUUCAUGAGAGUCCACCAUUACUUUCCUAGUUCUCUGAAAGCUGUCACGGAGAAGGGAAAAGGCAUCAGUAUUUUGAUUCAGUGAAACUACAUCAAUCAUCAAUUCCACACACGAAAAACAUGAGAUCAGUUUACCUAUGCAACAUCUCAACAAGCUACGGUUGCGGCUCCUCGUCCGUAAUUGUUAUAUUCUAUCGGAUAUUGAUUCUGCUGCUCGUAGAGAAACCUAGAUCCUUGUGUGCAAGCCUCUUACAUUGUCCUGGCUUUUUCAGCACAAUGCCGCUCUGAACCUUUGGCGUCUUGGUUCCUCAGACACACAUAUUUCUUCUCUUGUCGGAUUUGAUCUAUGGCUUGUACAAGCCUCUAGAUGCAAUAGAGGAUAGCUUCAAAUCGACACACACA